UACGAAGGGGGCUAGCGUUGUUCGGAUUUACUGGGCGUAAAGCGCACGUAGGCGGUUCGUUAAGUCGGGGGUGAAAUCCUGGAGCUCAACUCCAGAACUGCCUUCGAUACUGGCGAUCUUGAGUCCGGAAGAGGUGAGUGGAACUCCUAGUGUAGAGGUGGAAUUCGUAGAUAUUCGGAAGAACACCAGUGGCGAAGGCGACUUACUGGACACAUAUUGACGCUGAGGUGCGAAAGCGUGGGGAGCAAACAGG
rnacentral:rRNA from 1 species